rnacentral:rRNA from 1 species
UACGUAGGGUGCGAGCGUUAAUCGGAAUUACUGGGCGUAAAGCGUGCGCAGGCGGUUUUGUAAGCCAGAUGUGAAAUCCCCGGGCUUAACCUGGGAACUGCAUUUGGGACUGCAAGGCUAGAGUGUGUCAGAGGGGGGUAGAAUUCCACGUGUAGCAGUGAAAUGCGUAGAGAUCGGGAGGAACAUCUGUGGCGAAGGCGGCCAUCUGGACCAGCACUGACACUGAGGCACGAAAGCGUGGGGAGCAAACAGG